CCGGAAGCUCGAGUGGUGCCCCCCUUGUGGUCGGUGUACAGGUGGUGCAUGGCUGUCGUCAGCUCGUGUCGUGAGAUGUUGGGUUAAGUCCCGCAACGAGCGCAACCCUUGUCCUGUGUUGCCAGCGUGCCCUUCGGGGUGACGGGGACUCACAGGAGACCGCCGGGGUCAACUCGGAGGAAGGUGGGGACGACGUCAAGUCAUCAUGCCCCUUAUGUCUUGGGCUGCACACGUGCUACAAUGGCAGGUACAAUGAGCUGCGAUACCGUGAGGUGGAGCGAAUCUCAAAAAGCCUGUCUCAGUUCGGAUUGGGGUCUGCAACUCGACCCCAUGAAGUCGGAGUUGCUAGUAAUCGCAGAUCAGCAUUGCUGCGGUGAAUACGUUCCCGGGCUGAA
rnacentral:rRNA from 1 species